GAACGAGCAACCGCGGCGUGAGCGAUGAAAGGUUUCUCGGAUCGUAAGGCCUGUUGUUAGGAAGGAUCAGUACCGUUCGAAUACGGGCGUACCUUGACCGGUACCUAACCAGAAAGCCACGGCUAACUACGUGCCAGCAGCCGCGGUAAUACGUAGGUGGCCAGCGUUGUCCCGGAAUUAUUGGGCGUAAAGGGCUCGCAGGCGGUUUCUUAAGUCUGAUGUGAAAGCCCCCGGCUCAAACCGGGGAGGGUCAUUGGAAACUGGGGAACUUGAGUGCAGAAGAGGAGAGUGGAAUUCCACGUGUAGCGGUGAAAUGCGUAGAGAUGUGGAGGAACACCAGUGGCGAAGGCGACUCUCUGGUCUGUAACUGACGCUGAGGAGCGAAAGCGUGGGGAGCGAACAGGAUUAGAUACCCUGGUAGUCCACGCCGUAAACGAUGAGUGCUAAGUGUUAGGGGGUUUCCGCCCCUUAGUGCUGCAGCUAACGCAUUAAGCACUCCGCCUGGGGAGUACGGUCGCAAGACUGAAACUCAAAGGAAUUGACGGGGGGUGGAGCAUGUGGUUUAAUUCGAAGCAACGCGAAGAACCUUACCAGGUCUUGACAUCCUCUGACAAAGAUAGGACGUCCCCUUCGGGGGCAGAGUGACAGGUGGUGCAUGGUUGUCGUCAGCUCGUGUCGUGAGAUGUUGGGUUAAGUCCCGCAACGAGCGCAACCCUUGAUCUUAGUUGCCAGCAUUCAGUUGGGCACUCUAAGGUGACUGCCGGUGACAAACCGGAGGAAGGUGGGGAUGACGUCAAAUCAUCAUGCCCCUUAUGACCUGGGCUACACACGUGCUACAAUGGACAGAACAAAGGGCAGCGAAACCGCGAGGUUAAGCCAAUCCCACAAAUCUGUUCUCAGUUCGGAUCGCAGUCUGCAACUCGACUGCGUGAAGCUGGAAUCGCUAGUAAUCGCGGAUCAGCAUGCCGCGGUGAAUACGUUCCCGGGCCUUGUACACACCGCCCGUCACACCACGAGAGUUUGUAACACCCGAAGUCGGUGAGGUAACCUUUUAGGAGCCAGCCGCCGAAGGUGACAGAAGU
rnacentral:rRNA from 1 species